rnacentral:rRNA from 1 species
UACGUAGGUGGCAAGCGUUGUUCGGAGUUACUGGGCGUAAAGGGUGUGUAGGCGGUUCUUUAAGUUUGGUGUGAAAUCUCCCGGCUCAACCGGGAGGGUGCGCCGAAUACUGAGGGACUAGAGUGCGGGAGAGGAAAGUGGAAUUCCUGGUGUAGCGGUGAAAUGCGUAGAUAUCAGGAGGAACACCGGUGGUGUAGACGGCUUUCUGGACCGUAACUGACGCUGAGACACGAAAGCGUGGGUAGCAAACAGG